rnacentral:lncRNA from 1 species
CUCGCCGCCCCGUGGCAACUCAACCCCCCAAAUGGAUGCCGCUCAACUAUCUCAUCCAAUAGGACGCCGGCCACGACGUCACGAAGUUGCUGACGUCGCCAAGAAACGGCUGCCUCCGUUGCCGCCCUUCAGCGGCCACCUCGCUGCCGCUCCAAUGCCCACCAUGAGGCAUUGCGGAGGAAGGUGAGCAAGUAGCAGCACUUCGAGGAAGCCAUCAUCAACCUCGCCGCCGCGCUCCACGACCGCUAUGAAGGCGCCUCACCCGCCCUCCGCUAGUCGGUAAGGCCGACCUCACCUCACCUUCCCCAUCCCUACGAGCAUACCUGUCAUGGGACUGGGAACUAUGCGCGAGAGAUUGUUAGAUUGGUCAUAGAAGCGGGAGGUUGAUGCUCGGUAUGGGUCUAGGAGAGGAUUUGGGGAUGGAAAAUUUGUCUGAAUAUUUUUAUUCCUCUGAAGUUUUGUGAGCUCCAAGCCCAUCGCAUUGGCAUCUAUAUUCUGCAUCUCUGGAAGAUAUAUGUGACAUGUUGGCUGCCUUUCCCCCUCUUUGCAAUUAAAUGUUUUAGUCUUUAUUCCCCUAGUUUUAGGCUAUAAUCCCCUGAUUAGUACUCAUAUAUGGAGUACUUACACAGAGUUGGGGCCGGGCACUAGAUCUUGUACUCUGAAAUUAAUAAUACAUCUUGUGCAGCACUGAUAGUACUACGAGAUUAUUAGUACUCUGAUUAGUAUUGAUAUAUGCAGCAGUGAUGCAAAAUUGGGGCCCACAAAUCUUGUACUCUGAUUAGUACUGAUUUUUUAAAAGUUUAUAUACUCUGAAAUUCAUGGUAUACCACGUAAAGUUCUCAAGGCGCUUGUGCGUACACUCUGCGAACACUGAACAUACAAAGUGCACAAGGCUAAUGUAUUUCCCUCCAUUUCUAUAUGAAUAAAUCCUAGAUCGUUACAAUAACAGGUCAACCUUCUUUUCACUUCAUGCCACUAUAAGGUUGGUUUGCUGCUGAUGCUCCUUACACCCAUGUCAUUGUAGAUGGCUGUGGAAAGCUGGAAAUUUGCCUGUCCUAUCAAGAUGAGAAUCAACAACAUAAAGUUCUAGAAGGAUUCAAGGACAGGAAAGAUAUCUCCUUUUAUUAUCCAAUUGAUUGAAGAAGUUGGCUUCUCGCCGGCAUAUGAUUUCUUGUACUACAGGAAGAAAUACCCACGUGGCAGAGGCUAUUCUGACAUUGCUUCUGACCAUGAAAUAUGAUUUCUUGUACUACAGGAAGAAAUACCCGCGUGGCAGAGGCUAUUCUGACAUUUCUUCUGACCAUGAAAUAUGAUUUCUUAUACUACAUGACGAAAUACCCGCGUGGCAGAGGCUAUUCUGACAUUGCUUCUGACCAUGAAAUAUUUUGUGUUCAGUUUUCCUGUGAAAGUUAGCAUAGGAAUACAUAAUGUUUCUUCAGAAUGACAGAGCACCAAAUCGAGGUGGUAGGUUGCCAUCAAAUUCCACGGAAUAAAACUGACUUGUGGAUGUGAUUAGUCUCUUACCAGAGUGCAAGUUUAUUCUUUGAUGAAAAAGGUCAGCGUUUGGGAUGCACUGCAUAGCAAGGAUAUGAUGUAGGUUGUAUAGCUAUUCUGUGGACUGACGUGAGGUUGGGGUGCUCGUGCUUGCUUGGUCGGAAGCUUUUCUUUUGACUCGAUUGAUGAAUGAUGAGCACGAGGGCAUCUCUGCACUAGUUACGCCGUAUAUGUACUCCACUACAUAUAGAUAGCUCGCUCAUCGUGUCUUGACAGAAGAAGAACAACUUUGAUCGAUGGAGAUGGAUAUGUUUCUUGUUGGUG